rnacentral:rRNA from 1 species
GACGAACGCUGGCGGCGUGCCUAAUGCAUGCAAGUCGAGCGACGCAUGCCCUGACCGUAAGGUCGGGGUAUGACGGAGCGGCGAACGGGUGAGUAACACGUGAGUAACCUGCCCCGAAGACCGGGAUAGCCCGGGGGAAAACCCCGGAUUAAUACCGGAUACCUUCGUCGGACCGCAUGGUCGGAUGAAGAAAGGCCUUUGUGCUUCGGGAUGGACUCGCGGCCUAUCAGCUAGUUGGCGGGGUAACGGCCCACCAAGGCGUCGACGGGUAGCUGGUCUGAGAGGACGAUCAGCCACACUGGGACUGAGACACGGCCCAGACUCCUACGGGAGGCAGCAGCAGGGAAUAUUGCGCAAUGGGCGAAAGCCUGACGCAGCAACGCCGCGUGGGGGAUGAAGGCC